GCAUAUCAAUAAGCGGAGGAAAAGAAACCAACAGGGAUUGCCUUAGUAACGGCGAGUGAAGCGGCAACAGCUCAAAUUUGAAAUCUGGACCUAGUCCCGAGUUGUAAUUUGCAGAGGAUGAUUUUGGCGCGGUGCCUUCCAAGUUCCCUGGGACGGGACGCCGGAGAGGGUGAGAGCCCCGUCAGGUUGGACACCAAGCCUAUGUAAAUCUCCUUCGACGAGUCGAGUAGUUUGGGAAUGCUGCUCUAAAUGGGAGGUAUAUGUCUUCUAAAGCUAAAUACCGGCCAGAGACCGAUAGCGCACAAGUAGAGUGAUCGAAAGAUGAAAAGCACUUUGGAAAGAGAGUUAAACAGCACGUGAAAUUGUUAAAAGGGAAGCGUUUACGACCAGACUUGUGCCGGUUGAUCAUCCAGCGUUCUCGCUGGUGCACUCUGCCGGCCCAGGCCAGCAUCAGUUCGCCGCGGGGGAUAAAGGCGUCGGGAAUGUGGCUCCCCCGGGAGUGUUAUAGCCCUUCGCGCAAUACCCUGAGGCGGACUGAGGUUCGCGCAUUCGCAAGGAUGCUGGCGUAAUGGUCGUCAACGACCCGUCUUGAAACACGGACCAAGGAGUCGUCUUCGUAUGCGAGUGUUCGGGUGUAAAACCCCUACGCGUAAUGAAAGUGAACGCAGGUGAGAGCUUCGGCGCAUCAUCGACCGAUCCUGAUGUUCUCGGAUGGAUUUGAGUAAGAGCAUACGGGGCCGGACCCGAAAGAAGGUGAACUAUGCCUGUAUAGGGUGAAGCCAGAGGAAACUCUGGUGGAGGCUCGCAGCGGUUCUGACGUGCAAAUCGAUCGUCAAAUAUGGGCAUGGGGGGCGAAAGACUAAUCGAACCUUCUAGUAGCUGGUUCGCGA
rnacentral:rRNA from 1 species